GAGUUUGAUCCUGGCUCAGGAUGAACGCUAGCGGCAGGCCUAAUACAUGCAAGUCGAGGGGCAGCGCGGGUAGCAAUACCUGGCGGCGACCGGCAAACGGGUGCGGAACGCGUACAGAAUCUACCUUUAUCUGGGGCAUAGCCCGAAGAAAUUCGGAUUAACUCCCCAUAAUAUAGAAGAGUGGCAUCACUAGACUAUUAAAAAUUUAUUGGAUAAAGAUGACUGUGCGUCCCAUUAGCUAGUUGGUAGGGUAACGGCCUACCAAGGCGACGAUGGGUAGCUGGUGUGAGAGCACGACCAGCCACACGGGCACUGAGACACGGGCCCGACUCCUACGGGAGGCAGCAGUGAGGAAUAUUGGUCAAUGGACGCAAGUCUGAACCAGCCAUGCCGCGUGAAGGAUGAAGGCCUUCUGGGUUGUAAACUUCUUUUAUCUGGGAAGAAAAUUACGGUUUCUACUGUAACCGACGGUACCAGAGGAAUAAGCACCGGCUAACUCCGUGCCAGCCGCCGCAGUAAC
rnacentral:rRNA from 1 species